UAUAAUUGUUUUAUUUUUUCUAUAAAAUAAAUCGUUUUUAUGCAAAAAUUCGAAAAUUCGAUAGUACGAGCAGUAGUAGGAUACUUUGAGUUAGGUGUAACAUAACCUUUGACUUAUACGUGUAAUGUAAAACUAUGUGUAUUAGUUAUUAUAUAACGUUGUACACUGUUAUUGAAAAUAAUUUUAAAAAAAAAACUUUAAUUAUCAUAGAUUCAUAUAGAGUCUAAAAUAUUAUUAUAUUACACUUAUAUUGCAGGCUGCAUCAGUAUAUCAUAUUUUUUAUAAUACAAGUAAGUACUUUAAAGUUUUGAGUUUAGUUAUAGGUAACUUUUAAACUUUAUAGAAAUACUCUGAAAGUUUUUUCAUCUUCUAACUGCCUUUACUACUUAUUUAUUUUGCUAACACGUCGUUUUAGUUACCGAUUCAUUGUAUUUCUUAUUUGGCAAAUGACCGAUCAAGAAUCGAGCAGGUUCAGAAUAAAUUCUUAACAUGCACAGCCGCAACGUCUUGAAUUUCGUAUCUUUUAACUGAAUCUUUAGACGCACCUGAUUUUCUUUCAUUGAUUUCUUUCCAUGUUCCACGUUAGAUUUUAUGCCUUCCCUUUCAUAAAAAUAAAUUUAUGGAUAUAAGUACCUAAUUAAUAAUCAUCCUCUUCACAAUAUCUCGUAACGUUUCGCCAUUUAAUGAAUAUCCGCUUUGACUUACAUAUUCCAAUUGGAUAUACUUCAAUUAAACCGUCCAUUUUAUAUUUUUAUAAUUUUAUAUAUCAUACUUAAAAAUAUAAUAAGAUAAGUAAAUAAGUAAUAAGCACAGUGGCGUCAUUUGGGCCGUGCAGUGUAUUAUACAUUUGCGUAUUUAAAAUCCAAUUUUGUAGUAAUUUGACUCACUAUAAAUAAAUUGGCCUGAAUAAUCGAUAGUGGCUUGCGCUUAAGUGGCCUGCUCUAAACGCCAUGCGUAUUAAAAAAAAAAUUGAAAUGACACGCCAAUGAAUAAGCUCAGACUACUCUACGAAUACUUUCUUACCUAUUAAUUCUAAUUAAUAAAAAUACUUGUAACAAUUUAUUAGAUAAACCCGGUCUUGCACACUAUAUAACAGAAUCUGUCUUAAUCUAACACCAUCUAUAUUGACCAAAACGAUUUAUAAAAAUAUAAUUUUUAUUUGACUCCGCUAUAGUUAUUGAAAUGUAGAAAAAAAACCUCACAAAUGUUAAAAGUCUUUAAGUCUAAUCAUAAUCAUUAUACAUUGCCAUCAUCAAUAUUAGUUUUAAAAAUAUCAAAUAACUAUUUCUCGCAUACAUAUUUUAUGCGCUAUAAAGUAUAAAGAGAUUCGUAGUGCUAACAUCCGGCUAUCCCCUCCUAGCCCUCCUCAUCAUCAUACACCUACACCGUAUCAUCAUAUUACAUUGUGUAUACAAUACAUAAUACAUCAUAUGCAUCUCCACUAAGACAUGUGCUGCAAAUUGCAGUACCUUCUCGUGACAUAAAAAUUUAAAUCUGACACCGAACGUGGAUUUCCGUCGAUCCGGCACUUUUUACGACGUGGGUAUCAUAACGUUUUUUGUUUAAUGUGACAUAUAGGUAGGUAUGUAUUGUUUGUGCACUUGCUGACCGUACAACAAUUGAACAAUAUGAUUAAUAUAGUUUAUAUAUUAAUAUGUUAAACACGAGCCGGUACCUACGUGAUUUUUAGCCGAUUUUAAUUCAAACAAAACUCCCAGUGUCAUUGUGUUUUUGACGAAUUUCGUAUAAACAAGCGCGAAAAUAAACCGUACAGUUGAGUAGGUACACUUCGUCUGCAGGCACGAUUGUGUAUCAUAUCGUAUUACCUACCUACUAUUAUUCUAUAUGGUCGUGAUCGAAUAUGAUGUUUAGCACGGUGGCGAUUAAUCGAUUUACACAGACACGUCAAAGAUCCAAGCACUACAAGUAUAGGUACCUACUAGAGCAGUGGAGUGUAGACUGUAGAGGAGGGUGUAGGGCGUAGGUACUGGAUACCUUUUAUCUAGUUUAACUGUGAACCCUAGAAAUGCUAGACCGAGGUCGUAAUACAUUAAUUCCUAUAAUUAAAUAUUUAUAUCAAUUAGAUAUAUGUUAUUUGAUCAGCGUGUGGUGUCUGGAUUGAUUAUCAAGAGG